rnacentral:rRNA from 1 species
GUGGGGAAUUUUGGACAAUGGGCGCAAGCCUGAUCCAGCCAUUCCGCGUGCAGGAUGAAGGCCUUCGGGUUGUAAAGCACUUUUGGCAGGAAAGAAAUAGUGCGUGCUAAUACCAUGCGCGAAUGACGGUACCUGCAGAAUAAGCACCGGCUAACUACGUGCCAGCAGCCGCGGUAAGACGUAGGGUGCAAGCGUUAAUCGGAAUUACUGGGCGUAAAGCGUGCGCAGGCGGUUUUGUAAGACAGGUGUGAAAUCCCCGGGCUCAACCUGGGAACUGCACUUGUGACUGCAAGGCUAGAGUGUGUCAGAGGGAGGUGGAAUUCCGCGUGUAGCAGUGAAAUGCGUAGAGAUGCGGACGAACACCGAUGGCGAAGGCAGCCUCCUGGGAUAACACUGACGCUCAGGCACGAAAGCGUGGGGAGCAAACAGGAUUAGAUACCCCAGUAGUCC